UACGGAGGGUGCAAACGUUGCUCGGAAUCAUUGGGCGUAAAGCGCACGUAGGCGGCCUGUUAAGUCGGGUGUGAAAGCCCUGGGCUCAACCCAGGAAGUGCACUCGAAACUGGCGGGCUUGAAUAUGGAAGAGGGAAGCGGAAUUUCCGGUGUAGCGGUGAAAUGCGUAGAUAUCGGAAGGAACACCAGUGGCGAAAGCGGCUUCCUGGUCCCAGCACCGACGUCAGGCACGAAAGCGUGGGGAGCAAACAGG
rnacentral:rRNA from 1 species